UACGUAGGUGGCAAGCGUUGUCCGGAAUUAUUGGGCGUAAAGCGCGCGCAGGCGGCCUCUUAAGUCUGAUGUGAAAGCCCCCGGCUCAACCGGGGAGGGCCAUUGGAAACUGGGAGGCUUGAGUAUAGGAGAGAAGAGUGGAAUUCCACGUGUAGCGGUGAAAUGCGUAGAGAUGUGGAGGAACACCAGUGGCGAAGGCGACUCUUUGGCCUAUAACUGACGCUGAGGCGCGAAAGCGUGGGGAGCAAACAGGAUUAGAUACCCCGGUAGUCC
rnacentral:rRNA from 1 species